rnacentral:rRNA from 1 species
UACGUAGGCAGCAAGCGUUGUUCGGAAUUAUUGGGCGUAAAGCGCUGGUAGGUGGUUCUUUAAGUCGCGUGUGAAAGCUCCAGGCUCAACCUGGAAAGGGCGCGCGAAACUGGGGAACUUGAGUGCCGGAGAGGGUCGCGGAAUUCCCGGUGUAGAGGUGAAAUUCGUAGAUAUCGGGAGGAACACCAGAGGCGAAGGCGGCUUACUGGUCCGGAACUGACGCUGAGACGCGAAAGCGUGGGGAGCAAACAGG